rnacentral:rRNA from 1 species
GGUAAUUUAGUCUUAUAAUCAAUAAAAAUGGAUCAAACACAUAUAAAUAAAUAUAUAUAACAAAAAGAGUUAAUUUAAUCUUUCCAUCACCCCAACAAAAUAAAUUUUUAUAUUAAAAAAUAUCAUACAAAAAAAAAUAAAAAUCUAUAAAACUCUAUAGGGUCUUCUCGUCCCAAAAACCCAUUUAGGCAUUUUAACCUAAAAUUUAAAUUCAAUAAAAAAAUAAAGACAGUUAACACCUCGUCAAACCAUUCAUUCCAGCCUACAAUUAAAAGACUAAUGAUUAUGCUACCUUUGCACGGUCAAAAUACCGCGGCCAUUCAAUACAGUGGGCAGGCCAUACAUCAAAAUAUACAAGAAGAG